GACGAACGCUGGCGGCGUGCUUAACACAUGCAAGUCGAACGGAAAGGCCCUGCUUGCAGGGUGCUCGAGUGGCGAACGGGUGAGUAACACGUGGGUGAUCUGCCCCUUACUUUGGGAUAAGCCUGGGAAACUGGGUCUAAUACUGGAUAGGACCAUGCUGCAGGGGGUGUGGUGGAAAGAUUAGUUUCGGUUAGGGGUGAGCUCGCGGCCUAUCAGCGUGUUGGUGGGGUAAUGGCCUAGCAAGGCGUCGACGGGUAGCCGGCCAGAGAGGGUGGGCGGCAACAUUGGGACUGAGAUACGGCCCAGACGCCUACGGGAGGCAGCAGUGGGGGAUAUUGCAAAAUGGGCGCAAGCCGGAUGCAGCGACGGCGCGUGGGGGAUGACGGCCUUCGGGUUGUAAACUCCUUUCGGCCAUGACGAAGCCCUUGUGGUGACGGUAGUGGUAGAAGAAGCACCGGCUAACUACGUG
rnacentral:rRNA from 1 species